CCAUGCAGAUGUGUCUCCUUCAUUCAUUUCUUUGCUCAUUUACUUCCAUGAGUAGCUGCCUACUCUGUUUCUAGCCCACCCCCCAUUACUGAUUUUACAAACCAAUUGGAAGUAUAGAUAAGCAAUUAUAAUAAAUCCUAAGUCCUAUAUUUGAAAUACAAACUAUCAGCUAUUUGACAACAGAGAAGGGGGCAACUAUUCCUGCCUGGCCUGUGAGGGAAGACUGCAGAGAAGAGCUACAUAUUUGAAAUUUGGAAAAGGGGAGAAGAACCAGACAGAUGCUGCAGACUACGUUUUCUGCUCUGACCCCCUCCAAAGCCUGAGCACACUUCCAGGGGCAGGAAAAAGGAGAAAUAGAGAGGGUGUCAUGAGACUCAGCAAUCUGGGGGCUACAGAGACAGUGCAACUAACUCCUUCCAUCCCAUUUAGCAGGAAGCAGCUGACGUACCUUUCAACCUCUGACGGACCAGCGAGGGGAAAACCCACAUUAUGCUGAAACAUUUCCAGGGCCAGCCUGCUUACUAUUUAAGGGAAACAUCAUUUUUUAAAAGAAAGGGAAGUAGAAAGGAAGAUGAAACCUUUUUAUGACUUCAUUUCAAAAUGAUAAUACAAUAAGGUAUCCUAAAAUAUAAUACAGUAACUUUAUCUCAAAAUGAUAAUACAAUGCUUCUAUUGUACUACUAGAAGGAACUGGAAUAAAGGAAGAUAAAUUGGAAUUGUUAA